GUACAUGGAGGACUAGUGUUAUUCAUCUUUAUUAGGGUUUAAAGGGUAACAUAGACGGAGUAAUUAAGCCCUCAAAGGGGUACAAAUUAGCGUAAGACGUUUAAAAUGAGGAAGUAGAACUUUUUGGAAGAGAGAUAUAAAUAUCAAGAAACUAAAGGGGCAAGUGAACGGUGAAGAACGACUUUCAAAUAAAACUGACGUUGAAGGGACGAAGGCUUGGGUAUCGAAUAAGG
rnacentral:rRNA from 1 species